GAGGGUAGAGCUCAGUGGCAGAGUGUGUGCUUAGCAUGCAAGAGGUCCUGGGUUCAAUCCCCAGCACCUCCA
rnacentral:tRNA from 1 species